ACGUCCAGACUAUGGUAAGAGACAGGGAGGAAGGAUACGUCCAGACUAUGGUAAGAGACAGGGAGGGGAGGAAGGAUACGUCCCAGACUAUGGUAAGAGACAGGAGGAAGGAUACGUCUAGACUAGGGUAAGAGACAGGGAGGGAAGGAAGGAUACGUCCCAGACAUGGUAAGAGACGGAAGGGGAGGAAGGAUACGUCCCAGACUAUGGGGAGAGACGGGAGGAAGGAUACGUCCCAGACUAUGACCAUGAUCCCAGAGCAGUCUCCCCCUCCUCCUAUCUCUACCCAGAGGAGCCGGGUGUGGCUGCAGUAGAUAAAACACGCUCUCUGCCAACGAAGAGCGGAAGGGUGGAUAGAGGAGGAGGACAGAGGGAGAGGGAGAAGAGGAGGCAGAGGAAGGGAGGUAGUCUGGGGGAAAGGAGUAGCAGAGGAGGAGGAGGAGGACGAGGUACUCCUGACACAGACCUGGAUUGUCCCGAGGAGGAGGAGGACAAGGAGGAGGAGAGUCAGGUCAUCAGCCACAGAGGUCAGAAGUCAGAGGAUAAGGACAAUGGAAAAUGUACCCAGAGUUUUCCCAAGAACGUACUAAGGAACUCAGACAGACAGGAGGAGGUAGUGGAGACAGUGCCGGAGGUGAGGCACAGCAGGGUCAAACAGAGGUCAAAACAGUUGAGGAGCAGGACAACACAAAGUGAGAGGAGAGAGGAAAUAGAGGAGCUGGACAUACACAUACCUCACUCAGCCAGUAAAACACAGGAGAAGGUGGGAGGGAGGGAAAGUGGGAGGAGGAAGAGGGAUGGACAAAGGGAGAAAGAGAGGGAGAGGAAGGCUGAGAUGAAGGUAAAGACAAGGGCUGCCGGACUUGUGGUGGAGGAUUCUGGGCCGGAAAAAAGGGACAGACCCCCAGAGAAAGAGAGAGAGCGAGCUCCCUUCUCCUUCCUCAUGCCACUGCAGGAUGGAGACGCUGAACUGUCUAAUGCAGAGUCAGGGGCCUCAGGAGCCUCCGGGGCCAGCUUCUCUGACCAGGUCAGUGUGUCUGCUGCCAGUGUCUCUGGAUCCACCGCCGGGGCCCCACCUGGGUGGGGAGAACCCAGAGAACUGAGAGGGGACCCAGGAAGCACCCAGUCAUGGUGUCGGGCCACCCAUCCAUCCCACAACCCGGGCCCCUGGAGAAGUACACAGUCACGGGGGCCCACCUACGCCGGCCCCGGCCCCUGGAUUAAACCCAGCCAGCAGAAACUGACUCAGGUGUUGGUGGGACACAGGCUGAGAGGAGGUCUUGACCUGUAGAUGAGAGGAAGAGAUGGACAACUGACUGUUCCUGUGGUGCUGAUUAACAGAAGGAGUGUCGUGGUCUUUCUGAUAACUUCCCCAAAAGCAGAAAUUCUGGUUGGAGGAUUCCCAGAUUUCCUGCUUAUUCCCUCAUAAUUCCAGGGAUCCUCCAAACAGAAUUUUUGGGCAAGUUACCAGAAUUUUGCAACCCUAGGUUUGACUGGCAGGUCCUCCAACCUAUCGUGGUCCUGACUGGUUUGACUGGCAGCUCCUCCAACCUAUCGUGGUCCUGACUGGUUUGACUGGCAGCUCCUCCAACCUAU
ensembl:lncRNA